GGGAAGUUCACAAAGACAUUUGUGGCAAUUAUUUGGCCCGAAGUUGUUGACCUACAAAGUACUUCGGCAGCGAUAUUCUUGAAAGAACUGGGGAUUCAGCACAGAAAGACUUCGGGUAUUCUACUUUGGACCCAUCUCCUACUACUGAGGAAUUUUGGGUGCCACCCGAAGCUGCAGAUGUUAUUCGGAGGGUUCAUGUGGAUAUUUAUGUCAGCUAAAUG
rnacentral:lncRNA from 1 species